rnacentral:rRNA from 1 species
UACGGAGAGUGCAAGCAUUAAUCGGAAUUAUUGGGCGUAAAGGGCGCGUAGGCGGAAAGGCAAGUCAGAUGUGAAAUUCCGAAGCUCACCUUCGGAGCUGCAUUUGAAACUACCAUUCUAGAGGGUUGACGGAGAAAACGGAAUUCCACGUGUAGCGGUGAAAUGCGUAGAUAGGUGGAAGAACACCAGUGGCGAAAGCGGUUCUCUAGUUUAUACCUGACGCUGAGGCGCGAGAGCAAGGGGAGCAAACAGG